rnacentral:rRNA from 1 species
CUGCUGCCUCCCGUAGGAGUCUGGGCCGUGUCUCAGUCCCAAUGUGGCCGUUCUACCUCUCAGUACGGCUACUGAUCGUCGCCUUGGUGAGCCGUUACCUCACCAACCAGCUAAUCAGACGCGAGCCCAUCUUUAAGCGAUAAAUCUUUGAUACACAAACCAUGCGAUUCAUGUAUAUUAUGCGGUAUUAGCGGUCGUUUCCGACCGUUAUCCCACUCUUAAAGGCAGGUUGCUCACGUGUUACUCACCCG